CUGAAAACUCCAUUGCUCUAGGCUUCCAGCCUCCAUGAUGGUGUGAACCGUGUGAUCCUUCCUAUUUUUCUUCCCAACAAGUCAACAACAAUUAAAUCUUUACGAGAAACUUAGAGAGAAAAAAUAAGUGCUCGCAAGCUAGAGACAACAGCUGCAGGUUUAAGAAGUUAUCAAGUUGCCUGAUCAUCACCGAAAACAUUCAAGGAGAUCAAGAUGGUGUUUGAUAAAGCCCACUUACCUCCAGGUUAUAAAUUUCAGCCGACGGACAAACAACUGAUAGAAAACUAUUUGAUCCCAAAGGUGAAAAAUCAAUUAGAUAUGAAAUCUGUGUGGUACAUAUUUGACAAAAACAUAUACCAGUAUGAGAAUCCCCUGGUCCUUUUUCAAGAGAUUCAGAAGAAUCAUGCAUAUUUUUUCACCCCCACAACCAAGAUCACUUCAAGUGGUAAGAAUGUGAGAAGAACUGCCGGAGAAGGAAAGUGGCACUUAGAAGAUAAGGGUAAACUCAUAAAGGACGAUGAUAAUAAUGAUAUUGGAAAGAAUAGAAUGUUUACCUUCGAAUGGAAUGUUCCCAAGGAA